GGUCCGGUCCCGGGCGAUGGAUCGGAUUCGAACCGGGUCAGGCCGGGAACGGAGCAGCCCUAAGGAUCCCGAGCCAGGCGCCUGGUGCCCGGGCCCUC
rnacentral:SRP_RNA from 2 species